rnacentral:rRNA from 1 species
GACAGAGGGUGCAAACGUUGUUCGGAAUUACUGGGCGUAAAGCGCGUGUAGGCUGCUCGGAAAGUCGGAUGUGAAAGCCCUGGGCUUAACCCAGGAAGUGCAUUCGAAACUCCCGAGCUCGAGUCCUGGAGAGGAAGGCGGAAUUCUCGGUGUAGAGGUGAAAUUCGUAGAUAUCGAGAGGAACAUCAGUGGCGAAGGCGGCCUUCUGGACAGUGACUGACGCUGAGACGCGAAAGCGUGGGGAGCAAACAGG